GGCUUUCACUAGUACGAGAGGACUGUGAAGGACGGACCUCUAGUGUGCCGGUUGUCGCGCCAGCGGCAGUGCCGGGUAGCUAUGUCCGGUGGCGAUAAUCGCUGAAAGCAUCUAAGCGAGAAGCGUGCCUCAAGAUAAGCUCUCCCGGGGCGUAUGCCCCCUAAAGACCACUCGUAGACGACGAGUUUGAUAGGCUGGGUGUGGAAGGCGUGUGAGCGCUGUAGCUAACCAGUACUAAUCGGUCGUGCGGUUUAACAUC
rnacentral:ncRNA from 1 species